rnacentral:rRNA from 1 species
GAGUUUGAUCAUGGCUCAGGACGAACGCUGGCGGCGUGCUUAACACAGCAAGUGGUGCGACGAACCAGGGCUUGCCCUGGGGCAAAGCCGCGAACGGGUGAGUAACACGUGAGUAACCUGCCCCGAUGACUGGGACAACCCGAGGAAACUCGGGCUAAUACCGGAUGUGGUGCACACACAUAAGUGUGUUCACUAAAGGAAGCUUCGGCCUCCGCAUUGGGAGGGGCUCGCGGCCCAUUAGCUUGUUGGUGGGGUCAAGGCCUACCAAGGCGACGAUGGGUAGCUGGUCUGAGAGGACGAUCAGCCACACUGGGACUGAGACACGGCCCAGACUCCUACGGGAGGCAGCAGUGGGGAAUCUUGCGCAAUGCGCGAAAGCGUGACGCAGCAACGCCGCGUGGGGGAAGACGGCCUUCGGGUUGUAAACCCCUUUCAGGAGGGACGAAGGUUCGGCGGUGAAUAGCCGUCCGGAUUGACGGUACCCGCAGAGGAAGCCCCGGCUAACUCCGUGCCAGCAGCCGCGGUAAUACG